rnacentral:rRNA from 1 species
UACGUAGGGCGCAAGCGUUAUCCGGAAUUAUUGGGCGUAAAGAGCUCGUAGGCGGUUUGUCGCGUCUGCCGUGAAAGUCCGGGGCUCAACUCCGGAUCUGCGGUGGGUACGGGCAGACUAGAGUGAUGUAGGGGAGACUGGAAUUCCUGGUGUAGCGGUGGAAUGCGUAGAUAUCAGGAAGAACACCGGUGGCGAAGGCGGCUCGCUGGGCCAGUUCUGACACUCAUCCGCGAAAGCGUGGGGAGCAAACAGG